rnacentral:tRNA from 1 species
GGGGCUAUAGUGUAGCUUGGCUAUCACGCAUGGUUUGGGACCACGUAACCCCGGUUCGAAUCCGGGUAGCCCCA